rnacentral:rRNA from 1 species
CGGAACGUGCCUAGUAGCGGGGGAUAACUACGCGAAAGCGUAGCUAAUACCGCAUACGCCCUACGGGGGAAAGCAGGGGAUCGCAAGACCUUGCACUAUUAGAGCGGCCGAUAUCGGAUUAGCUAGUUGGUGGGGUAACGGCUCACCAAGGCGACGAUCCGUAGCUGGUUUGAGAGGACGACCAGCCACACUGGGACUGAGACACGGCCCAGACUCCUACGGGAGGCAGCAGUGGGGAAUUUUGGACAAUGGGGGAAACCCUGAUCCAGCCAUCCCGCGUGUGCGAUGAAGGCCUUCGGGUUGUAAAGCACUUUUGGCAGGAAAGAAACGUUCCGGGUUAAUACCCCGGGAAACUGACGGUACCUGCAGAAUAAGCACCGGCUAACUACGUGCCAGCAGCCGCGGUAAUACGUAGGGUGCAAGCGUUAAUCGGAAUUACUGGGCGUAAAGCGUGCGCAGGCGGUUCGGAAAGAAAGAUGUGAAAUCCCAGAGCUUAACUUUGGAACUGCAUUUUUAACUACCGAGCUAGAGUGUGUCAGAGGGAGGUGGAAUUCCGCGU